rnacentral:pre_miRNA from 1 species
ACAACAACAUUCGGACCGUCGGCCUACCUAGCAAUAUCACCCGCUCAGUGGAAGAUCUUCCCUUUGUCGUUAAGA